UAUGUCCUUCAGGAAAAGCAUCUACCUGAUUGACUAGUGCAACAUGGCUUUGUUCAGUCAGAUAGGUAAUCACUGAUCUAUUAUUCUGUCAUAGAGGACACUGUUCAGAGGAAACCAAAAAUAACACUGAGAUUCCUGAGAAUUUUAAACAGCUUAAUACUGGUCACCACAGCACAUAAUCGUUUCUAUUGUUUUGAUAGAGGGGUGCAGAACACAGAUUCUCCCCUCCCCACCUCUACAAAUUUUCUCUUCUUUGUGGGGUUAUAACCGUAUUUUUUUAAAUGGGGACAUUAUUGUUUAGACGUACUACCACUGAGAUUACGACUUUCCCUACAACAUUACAGUUGAGAAGAAGGUUACCAAGUCAUUUCGGAUGAUGUGCCUCCACAAACAGCUAUCAAAAGCUUAUGCUUAUCUCUGGCAAAUACAGCAAUCCCCAUUCAAACCUCCCAGCAUCUUAGGCAUCUUGAAAAGUACCGAAUGCACAAUUGUCCCCAUCACUUCACCAAGUCAUUUGUACACAAAACAAUUGCCACAUCCCCAGAUGAUUUUAACCUAUGAGCAAUGUUUGUUAAUCUCUUUUUUUUUCCCCUCACGAAUUUCUACAUGUUCACUUCAACACAGAAGCAUGUAAAAAGCUCUCAACUGAAUUGGAAGUUUUAUAUAAUAGCAAAGGAUAAAGUGGAACAAAGCACCUGUGCUUUAGAAUGAAAGAAAAACCUAUGUCUGAAUCUUAGUAUAUCACUUAGUACUUGUCUGCCAUUGGGAAAAUAGUUAAUGUUUCUGAAUUUCAACUCCCUUAGGUCUACAAUAAAGAUAAUAGUAGCUGUCUAA